CUGCUACUUCCGCGAUUUCUGCUACUUCUGCGAUUUCUGUGACUUCUGCGAUUUCUGUGACUUCUGCGAUUUCUGUGACUCCUGCUAUUUCUGCGACGUACCACGGUAUGAAAAAGUUACGUCUGUCCACACAGAAAAUUGCAUCUCAACAAACCUGUCAUUGGUACCUGAACUACAUUUCAGUCACUCAGUAAAGUGAUAAUUCAAAAUAUCAUUGUCAACAGAUCUGAAGAAAUUGCCAGUCUUUAGACCGUUUUCGUCAGAGGAGAGACGCAGUUCUGACUGAUUACUGUUGCUGUACAUAUCUAUCCACAUCAAGGCUGUUGAGAGAGACUCGUGAAGAUUCAAGACAGCUCUUAGAGGAUUUGAAGUUUAAAAGUGAAAUAAUUAUGAAA